CUUUGAUAACAUUUAGUUAUAUCUUUAGCACCUACUAUAACUAUUCCAUGUGUUCAACCUUCUGCUGUCGAAUCUACACAGCCUAUCACAGCUACAUUUACGUGUUCAACGAAUGUUCCUUCUACAUCUGCUAUUUGUGGAAUGUUUACAAGUUUCUAC